GAAAAGAAAAUAUCAUCUUUUCUUCAUCUUCUCUCCACCGAAAAAUGGCAGUAAAGAAAGGGUUUAGAAGCUGGAAACUUUCAGCAAAGAAACUCCCUUUAUAAGUUUCCAGGUUAGCUCGGGUUGGAGGCCGUCAGAGAUAUUAUCACACUGUCGAGUUAACGCUAUCGGCGUAAGUAAACUCAAGUGAUUCUAGUCUAUGGCAUGUAUAGGGUUUUAAUGUGAGUAUGUAAUAUUAUGAUUUAGCCAAAGGCAUUGGCUUGUUAUUAAGGUAGUAUUAGUCAUGUAAAUUGGCCUAUGUCGGCUAAUAUCGUUAUGGGCCCAUAUGAUUAUUCUUAUGCAUGUAUGUUAUUAUCUCUUGUGAUGUGGCUUACAACAUGUAUGCCUAGAGAUUGAAUUGAGAUUCAUUGAUGAGCUAAUAA